GGAAUUUUUCGCAAUGGGGGAAACCCUGACGAAGCAAUGCCGCGUGGAUGAUGAAGUCUCUUGGGACGUAAAAUCCUUUCGACGGGGACGAAACAGCAAGGUUGACGGUACCCGUCGAAGAAGCCCCGGCUAACUCCGUGCCAGCAGCCGCGGUAAUACGGGGGGGGCAAGCGUUGUUCGGAAUUACUGGGCGUAAAGGGUGCGUAGGCGGUUUUCUAAGUCGGAUGUGAAAACUCUGGGCUUAACCCAGAGCCUGCAUCCGAAACUGGAAGGCUGGGGUUCUGGAGGGGAAAGCGGAAUUCCUGGUGUAGCGGUGAAAUGCGUAGAUAUCAGGAGGAACACCGGUGGCGAAGGCGGCUUUCUGGACAGAUACCGACGCUGAGGCACGAAAGCUAGGGGAGCAAAC
rnacentral:rRNA from 1 species